rnacentral:rRNA from 1 species
AUUGAACGCUGGCGGCAUGCUUUACACAUGCAAGUCGAACGGCAGCGGGUCCUUCGGGAUGCCGGCGAGUGGCGAACGGGUGAGUAAUGCAUCGGAACGUACCCAGUCGUGGGGGAUAACUACUCGAAAGAGUGGCUAAUACCGCAUACGACCUGAGGGUGAAAGCGGGGGACCGCAAGGCCUCGCGCGAUUGGAGCGGCCGAUGUCGGAUUAGCUAGUUGGUGGGGUAAAGGCUUACCAAGGCGACGAUCCGUAGCUGGUCUGAGAGGACGACCAGCCACACUGGGACUGAGACACGGCCCAGACUCCUACGGGAGGCAGCAGUGGGGAAUUUUGGACAAUGGGCGCAAGCCUGAUCCAGCCAUGCCGCGUGCGGGAAGAAGGCCUUCGGGUUGUAAACCGCUUUUGUCAGGGAAGAAAAGCUCUGGGCUAAUACCUCGGGGUGAUGACGGUACCUGAAGAAUAAGCACCGGCUAACUACGUGC